CUUCUCUUCUCUCAUCACGACCUGUGUCUGCGUUCCCGUCCACCCUUUUGGGUGUGUUCUGGUUGAAUGCUGGCAAUUCGUCCGUUACCAUGGAGCCAUCUCUUUCCAAUAGAUGUCAAUUUCUGGACGACAGGUCGCAGAGAGAGUCGGGGCGAUGCUGGAAGCCUGAGUUCGCCGCAAGGUUUGAGCUCGGUGGAAGGCGCGUGCCAGGCGGACUGAUUCCUGUUCCCUUUUGCUAGGCCGUCGGCCACUGAUGCUUGGGACAAACCCAGUCGGCUACAUAC
rnacentral:sRNA from 1 species